GGUGGCUCAGUGGUAGAGUUCUUGCCUUGCAUGCAUGGAGCCCUGGGUUCGAUUCCUCAGCACCA
rnacentral:tRNA from 1 species